rnacentral:lncRNA from 1 species
UGCGCGAGUUGGGGGCGCACGCCGUGCUGGCCGCCUCGUGUGCGCGCUACCGCCGCUCGCUGCGCCUGUUUGAGCCCUUCGAGGUGCGCACGCGCCUGCUAGGUUGGGACGACCGCGCCUUCUACUUGGAGGCGCGCUUUGUCAGUCUGCGCGACGGCUUCUUGUGCGCACUGUUGCGUUCCCGGCAGCACGUGCUGGGCACCUCGCCCGAGCGCGUCGUGCAGCACUUGUGCAAACGCAGGGUGAGCAGCCCCCGGACCCGUGGCACGACCCCAGGGGCUCCUCGUCUCCGACCUUCUCCCCCAGGGAAGGCCAGCCAUCUGUUUCUCCUGGAGUACCACGCCCAGCACUGUACCCUUUCUUGCCUUUAACUGAGGGCUCAGGGCCUUCCUCACCCGUGCCCAUGUUCUGGGGGUCCCAGGGUCCCAGGAUCAACUCUUCACAGUCAGGCUUAGCCAUUCCUGAGCUCAGCCCCUCACGGUUUUCCUUACCCAUUACCCCUUCAAAAACAGAUGUCAGACCAGGCCUCUGACCGGGAGUCCAAGUCUUGGUACUGGUGGCCUGGAGUAAUGAGCCACCACCUCUGGUUCUUGGUUCUGAACAUGGGAUGGAUAAGGCAGUUAAAGGUGGUUGCUGGAAGUUUGGGGGGACCUGAGCCUCCCUUUCAUACAGCUUAGAGCUAAAGGGCUUGGUCCUGAUGGGGUUGGACUGACCCUGGAAGGCCGCAGCUUUUCUGCCUUCCACAGUUGGAGAAGGGAGGCCUACACCUUCCUGGGCUGAAGGCCCCUCCCAGGGCCUGCUCCAUGGCAGCAGGCUGCUGCAGCCAGGCAACCUUGGCCCAGGGGAUGGCCAGGGCAGUCAUGGUUGCCAAGAUGGUUUCUGCCACAGACUGUCUCCUGAAAGAUGCCAGGGUCUGCUCACCCUCGUGCACCCUCUCGCAUCAGACAGGCACCUCCAGAGCACAGGAGAGACAGUCCCACCCUUAUUGGGUGCAGAGAAAGUGGUACUGCCUAGGGCUGCAGAAUGACCACACCCUUGGUUUUAUCUUUAUUGAGGUGACUCCCAAAUCAGUACUAGAAGUGAGAGCAACCCCAGCCCCAGCCCUGCCUGGACUAGCCCUGUGAGUGGGACACUUUGUCCUGGCCCAGUCCACCGUGUGGCUGCUUGUCCUGAGGUGGGGUGGGCACCUGCUCCUCCCUUCAUUCUGGCAGCUCUUGAAGCCCUGCAAGGCAUCUGACCUCAUCCAUGAGUGUGCAGGGAGGGAUGGGGACACAGUGGACAGGCCCAGAGCUGACCUGGGAGAUUAAGUUGGGUCUUCUUGGUGCUUGACGAACAGAAGGGCUCCCAGAAAGCCUCUGCCCCGCACGCUGUCUUCUAAUGGCCUCCAGGAUUCCACCUGGCUCUGGGGAGGCAGGCCUGGCAGAGGCGGGGUUGUAUCUAGAGAGCUAGGUUGUAUCUCUGAGCUCAGAGGGGCCUGGGGAUUGAGUAGGCAGGGGCCUCAUGGAAGGUCACAUGCCUGGGAACAGCAUGGGCAGAGGCCCAGUGACGGGAGGGCAGCAGCCUGGCUGGUACAGGACCCUGGGCUGUACCCCUCACUCAUCCCCAUAGCAGCAGGUGGAACCCCCGGAGCCUCACCCUCCUGUCCUGCAGGUGGAGCCCCCUGAGCUGCCAGAGGACCUGCAGCACUGGAUCACCUACAAUGAGGCCAGCAGCCAGCAGCUUCGGGCUGAGAGUGGACUCAGUGAUGUCAUCAAGGACCAGUGACCGACGCUUCCUCCACUGCCUGCCCAUCAGCUUCCGCCUAGGGGCAGUUGGUUAUCUACCCAGCUGGUCAGUUGGCCUUUCCCACAAAAUGAGCAGGCCAGGCUGGGCUCCAGCUGGAGUGACCUUGUGACCACCAUAGUCCCCUUCACCUGCUUGACACCCUCUGCUGGGCCCCAUGCUGGACACAAUGGAGUGGCAUUGGUGCCUGACCCAGUUUUGCCUGCUAGUUGGG